CUCCAGUUAAAAAGUUCACUUCAGCUAUAAUAGAUGCCUAUGUAGGGUUACACACAAGGAAAAAUCCAUAUGUGUGAAUGCACAGAUGAUAAUUCAGAAAACCACAGUUGGAAAUAAGCAAUCUGUUCUUCUAAAGAAAAAUAACGUAUUUUGACAUAAUUUUCAUUUAUUUUACUGGAGGAAAUUUACAAACCAUCUGACGUAAGGCUUGUUUGAAAAUACCCAGUGAGAUAUCUGGCUUUGAUAACAAGCAAGGUGAAUUAUUUUUCCAUGCUGGAUUUUCUUCUCCAGCAGGUGAAGAAAACACUAGCAACAGUGCCAGCACUUCCCCUGUUCUGUUGCCCCAGCAACAACUUAAGGCACCAACUUAGAGAAAAAUAAAGGGAGUACUUAUUCUGAAAAAUACGCAAAAUAGUUACGGAAAUCAUUUUAUUGUUCAGAAAGAUUUUAAAGAUUGGUUUGAUGAAACAUUUGAACAAUAUGUAAAAUACAUGUUUAUUUUACGUGUUGAUAAUAUUGCAUUAUCAAUUAUAUCUUAAUUGCGUUUAUAUCCUUUUUUUCCCAUAGGAAUUUAAAGCAACUUCAAUAUGGAUCUCCAGUCAUUCCAUUCCAUUGAUAUAAGCCCUACUCAGUAAUGGGUGUAAAGGGUACAUUGGCUUUAUCACCCGAUUCCCCAAUCUGGUUCUUAAUUCACAUUCACAUGAAUGAAAUUUUCCUUUAGGAUUGCCGCUUAGCGCAGCAUAGAGACUAGGGAAUGGCACGGGGAAAGACAAUGAUGUUGUGUGUGGCUCAGUGCUGUUUACACAUUUCAAUACCCUGCCCAGGUUGAAUGCCUGAACUGGAAUUUAGUGGAAGCUUAACUAUGGCUUAACUGUGAUAUCAGAACUGAUAAACCAUGAUUUGCUACCAGUAACAAGAUUUUGAAAUCAUGUCAGCAGGGUCUGAAUAGUGAACCAUAGUUAUGUUUCUUUCUGUGCCUGCAGAGGCAGAUUCAUCAGGAAGCUCAGUAUCAGGAAUUAAAAUGGAAUCAAAGUAGAGGUUCAUAUCACGGCUUGCUUGCUGUAUAUUUGGAAGCUUAAUGCUUGAUCUGGCUUCUAAAGUAGGGUUAGUGCAAACCUUGGUUUUAUGUGACCAAAGGUUUAUGUAAAAAAAAACUUUUUAACUUAUUGUCAUGGAUUGUGUAAAUUUGCAGAUCUCUAAACAUAGUUGUCCUAUUUUGACAGGAAGAAUAUGACAAGUAUGGGAUUCGGAUUAGAGUCAAAUUCCGUAGCAGCACCCAACUUCAUGAACUGACUCAGUACCAUCAGAGCGGAGGGGAGAGAAGUGUUUCAACAAUGUUAUAUUUAAUGGCUUUGCAAGAACUCAACAGAUGCCCUUUCAGAGUAGUAGAUGAAAUAAAUCAGGGAAUGGAUCCAGUUAAUGAAAGGAGAGUCUUUGAUGUGGUAGUAGAAACUGCCUGCCAAAAGAGCACCUCCCAAUACUUCUUUAUUACACCAAAGUUGUUGCAGAACCUCAGUUAUGGAGAAAAAAUGACCAUAUUAUUGGUUUACAAUGGAUCAUCUAUGCUAGAAUCAAGCAAGUGGGACUUAAAAGCUUUCUGUAGAAGGAGACAGAGAUUUCAACCAUGACUCAGCAGCAAAUAUGUUUUCCUUUUUGAAAUUGAAAAGAAAUGUAAUUGGAGAAAAGUCAAGAAUGAAUUUAUUUCUUAAAAGCACAAUUACUCUCUUGUAAAAGUGAUUGAUAGCCAGUGUUUUAUAAGAUUAAAAUAUUAACUUUUUCUUUUAUGCUCAUUUUUCUCUGAAGAACUGUAGAUAUCAGUUUGGAUAAAUUGAAAGAAUAUAUUUUCUUAUCAGUGAUCAGUUGUUUUAAGUGAAUUUGAGAAAGAAAUGUUCUUCCAGUUGUUCACAACUUGGAAGCUUUGAUAUAAUUACAUUUGUUUUAAUAUGUCUUAUAAAUGUUAUAAUAUAGCUUUUGGAUUAACUGGUAAACUGGUAAAGGUUUUACCAGUUCAGCAAGGAAGUUUAACAGUUGUCACUGUUCCCAGUUGUGAACUCAGCUGUUUAAAUGUGUUCUGCAUAACUAUGGGAUACUGGACUAUGAAAAGUAGUCUUCCCAAAUGCUGCUAAAUUAUAAUCUUAAUUGUGUUCCAGAAGACUAAAAUAAUUUCAGGCAUUUCUGAAAUAUAUAAAAUAUGCAGUGUCUUUUUAUCUUAAUCUUAAGAUGCAACCAUUUGCUUGACUGGUAAUUUUAUACAAGGUACCAUUCUUACAACAUGAGACUUACUCCAUAUUUCCAUAUUUUUGUCUUUUUUAUAAGGGAAAA